ensembl:ncRNA T05A12.7 ncRNA
UAAAAUAAAUACAAAAAGAAGCAAUGGUCAAUGUGAAAAGCAUGUGGAACUGUGAGUGUCUCUGCCAGUUGGUGACACACACACAUUGUGCCCCUCUCGAAAAAUGAGACUUCAACACAAAAAGCGCCCAAA